GUUAGAGUGGCAGAGCCCGGCAAAUGCAAAAGACCUAAGCCCUUUGAACAGAGGUUCAACUCCUCUCCCUAACU
rnacentral:tRNA from 2 species